rnacentral:rRNA from 1 species
UACGUAGGGGGCAAGCGUUGUCCGGAUUUAUUGGGCGUAAAGAGCGUGUAGGCGGCCAGACAGGUCCGUUGUGAAAACUCGAGGCUCAACCUCGAGAUGUCGAUGGAAGCCGUCUGGCUAGAGUCCGGAAGAGGAGUGUGGAAUUCCUGGUGUAGCGGUGAAAUGCGCAGAUAUCAGGAAGAACACCCGUGGCUAAGGCGGCUCUCUAGUACGGUACUGACGCUGAGACGCGAAAGCGUGGGGAGCGAACAGG